rnacentral:tRNA from 1 species
GUCGGGAUAGCUCAGCCGGUAGAGCAG